AUUUAUCGCUAUAGGAUGGGCCCGCGUAGGAUUAGCUAGUUGGUGAGGUAAUGGCUCACCAAGGCGACGAUCCUUAGCUGGUUUGAGAGAACGACCAGCCACACUGGGACUGAGACACGGCCCAGACUCCUACGGGAGGCAGCAGUGGGGAAUAUUGGACAAUGGGCGCAAGCCUGAUCCAGCCAUGCCGCGUGAGUGAUGAAGGCCUUAGGGUUGUAAAGCUCUUUUGCCGGGGACGAUAAUGACGGUACCCGGAGAAUAAGUCCCGGCUAACUUCGUGCCAGCAGCCGCGGUAAUACGAAGGGGACUAGCGUUGUUCGGAAUCACUGGGCGUAAAGCGCACGUAGGUGGAUUUGUAAGUCAGGGGUGAAAUCCCGGGGCUCAACCUCGGAACUGCCUUUGAUACUGCAAGUCUUGAGUCCGAUAGAGGUGGGUGGAAUUCCUAGUGUAGAGGUGAAAUUCGUAGAUAUUAGGAAGAACACCGGUGGCGAAGGCGGCCCACUGGAUCGGUACUGACACUGAGGUGCGAAAGCGUGGGGA
rnacentral:rRNA from 1 species